rnacentral:rRNA from 1 species
UACGAAGGGUGCAAACGUUGCUCGGAAUUAUUGGGCGUAAAGCGCGCGUAGGCGGCUUUGCAAGUCAGGGGUGAAAUCCCACAGCUUAACUGUGGAACUGCCUUUGAAACUGCAAGGCUAGAAUGUGAGAAGGGAUGGCGGAAUUCCUAAUGUAGAGGUGAAAUUCGUAGAUAUUAGGAGGAACAUCGGUGGCGAAGGCGGCCUUCUGGACAGCGACUGACGCUGAGACGCGAAAGCGUGGGGAGCAAACAGG